UAUGCGUGCGAUCGAGAACAGGGCCAAGAGAAGAGCCAAAAACCCUAACAACCAAAAAUCAUCAAAUUGAUAAGGAGAUCAAGGGAAAAAUCGAAUGCAUGGGUCUGGAUACUCUUUAAUCUAAGUGUAUUGAUCAUAAGGAACGUGUCAAGGAGAGCUCAAGCAUAGGAGGAUAACGGGUCAAGAUAAGACAAGGUGACAAAUACACUUAUUGGAGUACUCAAGGUAAGUGAUUUCUAUAAUCACUUCUUUAGUUGUUUAAGUAAUAUAAUGUUUUAAUUAUUAAGUUCAUAUGAAGUUGAGGUCAAAAAUAUUAUUUAUGUGAUUUAUGCGCCGUCGGUUGCGGUAUAUUAUCCGUGAAUUACGACGGGCCUCCCAAACAUGGUUUCGAGUGUUUCCUUGACGAUUAUAAGUUGUAAACCCAAGUCUAAGCCUCAUGUAAUUUAUAUAAGAGUGUGUUAGAUGUAUGUAAUGAGGUUGGACAUGUAUUACAUGUAAAUGUAUACAAAAAUACGUACGGAACACGUAGGUAUGAAUACAUGAUUGUAGGUAUGAUUAAAUGUAUUUUAGGUAUGUAGAUGUGUAUGUUUGUAAGAUCGUAUGUGUGCAAGUAUGUGCGAAUGCAUGAUUUGGAUGCAUUUGAGAAUUAGCGUUACUAAUAAUGCCCUUGAGUUUGGAAUAUAAGUUAAUUGGAUGCAUUUAAAUGGUUGACGUCCUUUUUAUGAAAAUGUAGUAAAUGAAUAUGUUGAGAUUACGGGUUUGGCUAACCAAGUUAUUACUGAGUAUGUUUGAAAGUGCAGGUUAUGAAUGUCGGACUUUCAAAGUGUUGAUAUAAUAAUGAAACGGUUGAAUCUUGAAAGGAUAAUCGGAUUGAAGUAACUUAUGCGGUUAGAAUAUGCGGUGGACGUUUUAGUUUAUACAACAUUUUAUGUUUGGUCGUCAUCAUCUACCAACGGGGUAAGCGCAGUUGUAGGAAGAGAUGAUCCGUGAAUGCGGUCUAGGACCGGCAUCAAGGCAAGUAAUAAGACGAAUUGACCCCUGGUAUGUAUACUAAACGCGUUAAUGUAUGAAAUAGUAUAAGUAGGUAAGUGAAAGAAAAUUUUAAAUGAAUAUAACAAUGACAUGGUAAAGGAGUUUUU
rnacentral:lncRNA from 1 species